CUCCUUACUCUCUGCAAUUUGCUCCCUUGACCGCCAUCUCUCUGUUUAGUGAGUUUUUCAACAUUCUUCUGCGCUUCUAUUACUUCUUCGGUCUUCCAAUGUGAUCUGGUCUGAACUAUGAAAAAAAAUCAUAAACAAAGAUGUAUAUGCCAAGCGGCAGAGUUCAACGGAAGAUAGCUUAUGCUUGGCCUGGAUUAAACUAUUUGUGAAAGGAGAGAAGGGAAACAUAAGAUGCUUUGAAGUUUUUGUUGUGUCGUGGUAGUCCAUUCAUGUGCCUGUUCUGUUCAACAUUUCGGAGUCUGAUUUCAGGUUUAUCUUUCUUUCGGUUGGGGAUGUGAAGUUGGCAGAAUAUGCUUUUCUGGAGUCUGUUUCGAAUUAGUGUGUCGUCAUACUCAGAUCUCAACUCAGGAAGACCUCCUAUAAUGUGGCGUACGCCCGAAUUGAGGAGGCUGUAUCUCAAAGUCGAUCCUCAUCGUUUGGAUGGCAGACGCAUAUAUAUAUAUAUAUACUAGACGGCGGCUUAUGCCCGUGUUGCGCACGGCCCAACACUUUAGAUUAUAGUGCAUCUAUGUGUAUGUAGUUGUCUUUGAAUAGUGAUUAUAUAUAUAUAUAUAUAUAUAUAUAUAUAUAUAUAUAGUAUAUGUUAUGUUUAAAACAUGAUUAAUAUAACAUUGUAGUUUGUGCUCCGUAUCUAAAAUUUUAUUAUAUUAAUGUUUGCUACGAAUACAAAAUCGGCAAAUUU